ACUGAGUGCGGGCUGCCUCCGGGCGCCCAACCUCCCACCCGUGAAUACCUAACACUGUUGCUUCGGCGGGGAACCCCCUCGGGGGCGAGCCGCCGGGGACUACUGAACUUCAUGCCUGAGAGUGAUGCAGUCUGAGUCUGAAUAUAAAAUCAGUCAAAACUUUCAACAGUGGAUCUCUUGGUUCCGGCAUCGAUGAAGAACGCAGCGAACUGCGAUAAGUAAUGUGAAUUGCAGAAUUCAGUGAAUCAUCGAAUCUUUGAACGCACAUUGCGCCCCUUGGUAUUCCGAGGGGCAUGCCUGUUCGAGCGUCACUAACACCCCUCAAGCCUGGCUUGGUGUUGGGCCGUGCCGGCAACGGCAGGCCCUAAGAUCAGUAGCGGUGCCCGCUCGGUGCUAAGCGUAGUAACACUCUCGCUAUGGCCCGGCGCGGGCGCCCGCUCCCCACCCCUCUUACGUUUGACCUCGGAUCAGGUAGGGAUACCCGCUGAACUUAA
rnacentral:rRNA from 1 species